rnacentral:rRNA from 1 species
UACGUAGGGUGCGAGCGUUGUCCGGAAUUAUUGGGCGUAAAGAGCUUGUAGGCGGUCUGUCGCGUCUGCUGUGAAAAUCCGGGGCUCAACCCCGGACUUGCAGUGGGUACGGGCAGACUAGAGUGUGGUAGGGGAGACUGGAAUUCCUGGUGUAGCGGUGAAAUGCGCAGAUAUCAGGAAGAACACCCGUGGCUAAGGCGGCUCUCUAGUA